UGCCCCGUGGGGUAAUGGCAGCCCGAGGGAUUUUGGUUCCCUAGGUCGUGGUUCGAGUCCACGCGGGGCAG
rnacentral:tRNA from 1 species